AUUAAGAGUAUGAAACCAUAUGGGUUACACUUCUCAUUUUCCUUUUUAUCUAGCAAAUAUGCUAUACGUGUAGCAUGUAUACUGUCAAAACUACAGACGGAAAAACUGCAGGCACAUGGAAUAUCGACCUACUUUUAGAAAUGUAAUGACAAACAGUUAUUUGUUUUUUGCAGGAAUAUGUCACUGAUGAUCUUCAAAUCAAACUUAAAGCAUUCCUCUCUGGUCUGAUAAGCCAAUAUAUUGGGAUGUUCUUCAUCUUCUCUGUCAAAUGGAUUUUCACCUUUGGUCAUCAAUCUUCUGUGAUGAGCCUCAUCCCGUGGAAAAGGAAGCUAAAGACAUUUGUAUAUACCAGGUCCACACUUGGUUUAGUGCUCUCAAGCUGUUUUCUUGGAAGGAAGUCCAAGGCUGCUUUUCAGUCUGUCCAGUAUCGCAGGAUGUAAGCCUGUACUCCCUCCCGCAGCAGCUGACUCGCUGGCUUUCUGCUGAUGCUCGCAUGAAGUCAAACUUCCAUGGCUGCUGGUGACCCGGACUGAGUAGUUGUUAUCCUUUGCUGUUCAUCAGCAUGUUCUCUAGUCAAUCAGUAUAAGUGAUUUUUUUCCUUAACCCAGUUGAGUGGAAUGAAUGUGGGGUGAAAGAGCAUUCAGGGAAAUAUUUAGAUGGCAG
rnacentral:lncRNA from 1 species